GAUCUUCUCCCUGCUGUGGGUUGUUUGCUCGUGGCAGCUCCACUCCACUAGGACAUGGGCAGUGAUGCAAAUCAGAGCAAAAUCUUGAAUUGAAAUCCUUCCCAGUGCUCCAGCCAAACACGAGCAGCUCCCACCGUGCACCUCUGGAGAUACUGCCCAACUGCAGCAGGAGGUGAAGACAUUUUCCAUGGGAAGACUGCAGGAAUCCAACAGCCUCACAAGCAAAGAGAUGCCUUAAGAUGCAUUCAAGGUGGGAUGUCAUGAAGAAAGGCAAAGGAACUGAAAGCAUCUUCCCCUCCUGCCUGGCAGGGCUGGACAUGGCUCCACUGUGGGAACCUGCUCCUGAUGUGGCUUAUGAAACACAAACUCACUGUAACUCAUCUGAAAAUGCGGCAAGAAGAAAACAUUCUCCAGCACGUCAGUUCCAUGGGGUGAUGCUCCUCUUCCCAGACAGAUGGUCUGAUUUUUGUGUGUCUGUGUGGAGCCAGGAGCUGGAAUUGAUGAUCCUUUUGGGUAUCCUCCAACUUGGGAUAUUCUAUAAUUCUUCCAGUCAAAUUGCCCAUGUUAAUCACAAAGAAUCUGCUUUUUCUUCCAUUGUGCCUGGAUAUUAUGCUUUUCUCUCCACAGGAGCUGAGUGUUGUACAGCAGUGGUGCUGAGGCUUCAUUCAUUCAGUCUCAGGGUAACAAGGGAGAUAUUUCUUUAGUUUGUGACAGCUUUGUAGCAUGAAUUAUCUCGUGUUUUACAAUGCUCUCUUGCAGUGUGCUGUGCAUGCACGCUAGCACUGAUAAUUUUUGGCUAACGGUGGUAUUCAAUCAUCAGAUAAAAACUAAUGAAGCAGAGGGCCAGAAGAUGUGAUGAUGAUGAGGGGGAGGAAUUCAGAGUAGUAGAGGGGGGCAGCCAUAAUCCAGGCAGGGCUAUUGAAUUGAUGUGAGUGAUAAUUAACAUUCUGAUUCAUUAAGCAAUGGCUUCAUUGAUGGGAUGAUUUCAGAGCUGGUGCCAAGCAAUAGGAAAUUUCUCCAGGGCUCAUCCUACCCACGUUGUGCUGGUGCAUGACAGAAGUUUUUUCCAACUUUAAUGAUUCUAUGAUUAAUAUAAAAUAAAAAUGGAAACAGAACUUAAAUAGGGCAUGUCUGACAGUGCAAGCAAGAGAAGAGUAUGGGGAGGCCAAUGCUCAAAUAUUUCCCCAUUCUCAGUAUUUACUCAGCAGCCCCUUGUACUGAGCCUCCAUUGACUCUCAGGCAGGGAUGUUGGGGGCUUCCAGCUCCAGCUGCUGUUACUCCUCCAAGUUUUCUGUGAUAUUGUAGCAGUAAAGAAAGCUGAAAUACAGCACUCGGCUCCUCCAGCCUUCUUUUCUAUGUGCAGGAAGCCUGUACAUCUCCUGGAUGAAAAUACACGGUGUAAAGAGGUUACUGCUGCAGAGAUGGGGAUGGCCACAUUACUCAUGUGUAGCCAAGUGCUGAAUCAUCUGGGUCACCUUAUGAGAUGUCAUCUGUACUUGUCAAACAGAUUUUACAGAAGGAAUAUUUCCAGGAUGUUUUAGGGAGCAUUAAUACCAUUUAUAUGUAUUGCUUCUUUUAUCCCUUUGCAUAAAAAGCCAGGUGAAUCUGGCUGCCCAGGACUUGCAAGGAGAGAAGAGUUACAGUUCAGACAUUUCAAAAAUCUCCAAAAUGCACCUGCAAUGGUCUUCUCAUCCAUCACCAUGCUGUCAUUCAAGCUUCAGCAUGCUGGGACUUCCCCACCCCUCGAGCAAGAGUUGAACAGGAGGGACAUGAACAAUUCUUCUAGAGGAACUUCAAUAGGUUCUCCUCUGCGCCAAUGCAUUACAGGGAAUCAUAAACUCAGGAAAAAUAACAGUAGUAAUAAAUUAGAAUCAUAGAAUGAUUAAUUCUACCUAAACAUCAAUCAAAGAGAUGGCCAAGAUCAGAAUUUGGUGCUUUCGUUAUUCAGCCUAUUCGUCCCAUGCCCAGUGCCCAGACUUUGUACCAACAGUGCUUUUCCUUCAGAAAAAUAAAUAAAUAAAUGAAUAAGUAAGCAAGCAGCCAAGUCGCUCUGCUGGCUGCCCUGUACUUUUAAGAA